ACGGGUGAGUAACGCGUGGGAACAUACCCAACUCUACGGAAUAACUCAGGGAAACUUGUGCUAAUACCGUAUACGCCCUUCGGGGGAAAGAUUUAUCGGAGUUGGAUUGGCCCGCGUUGGAUUAGCUAGUUGGUGGGGUAAAGGCCUACCAAGGCGACGAUCCAUAGCUGGUCUGAGAGGAUGAUCAGCCACAUUGGGACUGAGACACGGCCCAAACUCCUACGGGAGGCAGCAGUGGGGAAUAUUGGACAAUGGGCGCAAGCCUGAUCCAGCCAUGCCGCGUGUGUGAUGAAGGCCUUAGGGUUGUAAAGCACUUUCACCGGAGAAGAUAAUGACGGUAUCCGGAGAAGAAGCCCCGGCUAACUUCGUGCCAGCAGCCGCGGUAAUACGAAGGGGGCUAGCGUUGUUCGGAAUUACUGGGCGUAAAGCGCACGUAGGCGGAUCGAUCAGUCAGGGGUGAAAUCCCAGAGCUCAACUCUGGAACUGCCUUUGAUACUGUCGGUCUAGAGUAUGGAAGAGGUGAGUGGAAUUCCGAGUGUAGAGGUGAAAUUCGUAGA
rnacentral:rRNA from 3 species